AAUUAGAUAUCUAUAAGGUUUACACACUAGGGUUGGGUCACAACCCUAGUAGAAAUCUAGCUACUCAUAAUUGGGUUUGAAGAAAAUAGAGAAGAAAGACUAAUUAAAAUCAUAAUAAAAGCUUCAAAUGAUUAAAUCUAUUGUAAAUACACCAAAAAAAAGUAAAACUUCCUAAAAUAGCAAAGAAAAACGGCUACAGUAAUUUCAGAGGUUCAAACUUGACCUAAUUUUGUGAAACUCGUUUAUUUAUAUAAGGCUAAAAAUUUCGGACAAAAAUACCUCUCGGGAGGUUUUGCGGCCGCACAAUUCCUUGUGCAGUCCGCAGAUUUCUUCAUCUGGAAGGAGCUAAAGUUCUGCAGCCGUACAUUUUUGAACUGCGGCCGCAAGACAACUUUUCUGCAGACCGCACAUUAAGAACUACAACCGCAAGACACUCUUCUGCGGUCCGCAAUAUUAGGAUUGCGGCCGCACAAAUCAUGUGCGGUCCGCAAUUCACUGAGGUUUUGGACUUGGUCAUUUUGCAUACUCUCUGAUCUUGGCCUUAGCCCAUCUUUUGCGGCCACAAAAUUUAUGUGCGGUCCGCGAUUUGCACAAUUGUCUACUAAUUUUUCCUUCUUUGUUUGCGGCCGCAGAUAGAAUUUUGCGGACCGUACAUUGUGUGCUUCUGUGCCCUUUAUUGUCUUGUGCUUAGACUGCUCCUUUUUUAGUCGGAUUUCAUUUCGGGAGCCCAACUCUCAGCAUUCCUGCAAUUUUGCACAAUUUCAUUAGUUUCGGAAAUACAAUUCAAUGCUUUUAGACUAAAACAAAAGCUAAAAGGCGCUAAUAAGUAGUCAAAAUCCCCACUUAUCAAUGACCAAGCCUGAUUUUAGAUUGAACAGUGAUCUCAUCCUCGAUUGGACCCUCGGUUCGAGCCCAAUCGUGAAUGAAGAACAUAACAAGUGAGUAAAGUUCUUAACGGUAACUGGAAGGUAAAAAUAAACUUUUAUUGCAUUGAAUUGCGUCUUACAAUGGUCAGACUAAAGAAAUUUUUUUCCUUUAUAUAAUAGGAGAGGUUCAGUCAUAGUAUAAUCUAAAAAAGGUAAAAAUCUUCCUUUCUCGAUAAUUGUUCAUCCAUAAUCGACAUCGAGCGAAAUUCGCGCAUUGAUAUCCGGUUGAGGGCGAGUAUUACGACCCUCUAUCCAUCAUGCAUAACCGUUCACCGUGUCUCCCGAGAUCUAGAACUUACACUCGACCCGGGCGCGUCGCUUUACCAUGUCCGAUAUAUCGUUCACUCUUCCUGGGUCUCGAUACGAGGGGUCUCUGACCUCGAUUACAAUCUCUUGGAUCCAUGUUCCUCCUUCGUUCUUUCUUCGGGGGAUCGGGUUGAUACUGCCCCUGAUUUUACCCGUAUACAACUGUAAUUCAGUCCGACAAUUUAAGCUGACUAAUAAAAAGACUGAAGAACAAUCCAAGAAAAGAAAAUCAAACAUAGAAUGAGAAAUCACUUUAUGUAAAAGAUAGAAUGUCUUAGAUCCCAUUCGUUUAUUUAGUAAAAUUGUAGAUGUCCGAAACAUAAAUAAAUAUCACUAUUGAAAUACUAUUUAUAAGUCCAAAAAUUGGAAUUAAUUUAGAUUACUUAUUUUUUUCAGCAUAACUUAUACUAUUUACUUUAAUAAAAAUUGUAAAACUCAAACAAAUACCAACAGUAAGAUAUUACAUCCAUCAAAUAAAGAAAAAUAAAUCCCAAUUUACCUUAGGUGAAGCGUUGAAGUGACGAUCAACUUGUGUUUUGAAAUUCAAGAUUAGCAUUUUCAUCGCUUUUAAUUUUUGUGAUAUAGAUUUUAAUCAACUUGACAAGAUUACCAUAUGUUGUGCUUUAUCUCCACUUUCUCCUUGCCUCCCCACACAAACAACUCCAACAUAUAUAUGUUUUCUUCUUGUCAAAUUUAUUUUUCUAAGGAAAUCUCCUC
rnacentral:lncRNA from 1 species